ACUUAAUAACCAACACUUACGCAAUUUAUUUGUUGCUUUCAUAUCAUCACACUAAUUGUGCUUAACAUCACAUCCUCUUCAAGCAGAUCUAGACUGGGAGGAGUGUCUUCUUAGACAACACUCCACUGGAAAGCUUUGAAUCACUAAAAAGUGAAGAAUAUAGUUGAGUAGAAUUGAAUCAUCUUAAUUUGUAGGAAUUAGAUGAAGCCAUCAUUUAGAAAUGAAUAUGCCAAGGUCACAGUGAAAGUUUAGUGCCUCAGUCUAGACCAUUUCAUAAAGGAUGCCUUAGCAAAAAGUGUAAUGUAGUUUGAGGGCUUUUAGGAGAUUAUUAUCUUGAAAAAUAAGUCUUACCAGUCCCCUCCCCCCCAGACUACUAGAGUUUUUAGUAACUGUCUGAAAUUACAGUUUAUUUGUGUAAGAUAAGAAAUAAUUGCUAUAAAUUUCUGACAUCUGUGGAUAAGUACUGAUUUUAUUUGAGGUGUGCUAUUUUGUGGGAAAGACAUUAUUUGUUAAGCAAAAAAUAACAAAGGGAUAAAUGCUGUCAUAUGCUGAGUUGCAAGGGAGAAAGGCAAUGAUUGUUUUUACUGAACUAGUUAUAUGAAAGGGAAACGCUCAAAUGAUUCCAGCUUCUCGUCCCAGCUACAUACCAAUGCAAACUGGUACCAGUACUCCUUGAAAUUAGCACUAAACAGUUUCAGGAUUUAAUAUUUUGAUUAGAUCAGAUUUAGCAUUUUGUGAAGGCAGCUUGCACUGGAUUCAAAUGCUAUUCUCAGAAUUCUAUUCCAUAGAGGACAGGUGACAUUAGGAAGAAUACAGUAUCUAUCAUUUUCCCAAAGUUCCCGUUAAUUUAACUAAGUGUUGCUAUUCAGAUGUCAGAAGAGGUCCUUCAUUACCCAACUUUGAGUGCAAAGGCUUAGAGUCCUGCAAUAAACCUGCGGCUUUAAAUAGAUGGGAUUAUAAUAGAGCAUCUUUUUCAUCAUUAAUUCUCUUUCCUUUUUUUUUUUUUUUUUUUU
ensembl:lncRNA